UGCAGUCGAACGGUAACAGGUCUUCGGACGCUGACGAGUGGCGAACGGGUGAGUAAUACAUCGGAACGUGCCCAGUCGUGGGGGAUAACUACUCGAAAGAGUAGCUAAUACCGCAUACGAUCUGAGGAUGAAAGCGGGGGACCUUCGGGCCUCGCGCGAUUGGAGCGGCCGAUGGCAGAUUAGGUAGUUGGUGGGAUAAAAGCUUACCAAGCCGACGAUCUGUAGCUGGUCUGAGAGGACGACCAGCCACACUGGGACUGAGACACGGCCCAGACUCCUACGGGAGGCAGCAGUGGGGAAUUUUGGACAAUGGGCGAAAGCCUGAUCCAGCAAUGCCGCGUGCAGGAUGAAGGCCUUCGGGUUGUAAACUGCUUUUGUACGGAACGAAAAAGCUUCUCCUAAUACGAGAGGCCCAUGACGGUACCGUAAGAAUAAGCACCGGCUAACUACGUGCCAGCAGCCGCGGUAAUACGUAGGGUGCGAGCGUUAAUCGGAAUUACUGGGCGUAAAGCGUGCGCAGGCGGUUAUGUAAGACAGAUGUGAAAUCCCCGGGCUCAACCUGGGAACUGCAUUUGUGACUGCAUGGCUAGAGUACGGUAGAGGGGGAUGGAAUUCCGCGUGUAGCAGUGAAAUGCGUAGAUAUGCGGAGGAACA
rnacentral:rRNA from 1 species